CUACUCGUCCAUGCGCCCCCUUUCCCUUCCCUCCUCCUCGCCUCGGCUCUCCACACGACCCUUGUCUGUGUAGUCACCCUCGCCCAACAACAAUCCGCGGCGCACCAAAUCGCUCAAGGCACACCACCACCAACUCCCAAGGAACCGAGCCAGCACCAGGAGAAUCCAACAGAUUCCUCCGGCACUCUGUGCUACUCCACAAUAACCGGAAUCAUGGCGUUGGAAAGACCGAAGCGCUGGAAAGAACUGAAGCGCUCUACGCAACAACAGAUAAGCAUCAAAAUUAUCCAGUUAAUCCUGAAUUCAAAGUUCAUCGAGCUAUUAACCCAACUACCCAAGUUCAGAUCACCCGUUACGUGAUAUAGCAGGCUUCUUAUCAUUGUUGAUACACGAUUUGUGACAAGUUGACAAUUAAAUCUAAAAGGCAAUAUAGAGAAGGCAAAUGUUCUUAACUAGAACAACAACCGAAAAUUUUCAUACAUGAAUUAGGAUGAAGAUCUGCUAGCGUUGUCGUGGUGGUGGUGGACCUCUGCGGGCUGCGAUGAACGAACUUCCUCUACCAACCGCGUCUACCUUCCUCCCCUGCUCCCACACUGACUCGCCACCGGGUCCCGCGGGAGGUGGUCCGGCGACGUCUAGGUCACGAUG
rnacentral:misc_RNA from 1 species